rnacentral:rRNA from 1 species
UGGGGAAUAUUGCACAAUGGGCGCAAGCCUGAUGCAGCCAUGCCGCGUGUAUGAAGAAGGCCUUCGGGUUGUAAAGUACUUUCAGCGGGGAGGAAGGCGAUAAGGUUAAUAACCUUGUCGAUUGACGUUACCCGCAGAAGAAGCACCGGCUAACUCCGUGCCAGCAGCCGCGGUAAUACGGAGGGUGCAAGCGCUAAUCGGCAUUACUGGGCGUAAAGCGCACGCAGGCGGUCUGUCAAGUCGGAUGUGAAAUCCCCGGGCUCAACCUGGGAACUGCAUUCGAAACUGGCAGGCUAGAGUCUUGUAGAGGGGGGUAGAAUUCCAGGUGUAGCGGUGAAAUGCGUAGAGAUCUGGAGGAAUACCGGUGGCGAAGGCGGCCCCCUGGACAAAGACUGACGCUCAGGUGCGAAAGCGUGGGGAGCAAACA